AAUAAACUAAUUUAGAAACAAUAAAUUGUAAAUUUAUUAACAU
rnacentral:tRNA from 1 species